rnacentral:rRNA from 1 species
CCUACGGGAGGCAGCAGUGGGGAAUAUUGGGCAAUGGAGGCAACUCUGAACCAGCAACGCCGCGUGAAUGAUGAAGGUCUUCGGAUUGUAAAGAUCUGUGAUGGGGGAUGAACACAAUGACGGUACCCCAAUAGCAAGCCACGGCUAACUAAGUGCCAGCAGCCGCAGUAAUACGUAGGUGGCAAGCGUUAUGCGGAAUGAAUGGGCGUAAAGGGUGCGGAGGUGGUUUAGUAAGUUGGCGGGGUAAUUCAGGGGCUCAACCUCCGCGCUACCGCCAAAACUAUUAGACUAGAGUGCACGAGAGGUAAGUGGAAUUCCUGGUGUAGCGGUGGAAUGCGUAGAUAUUAGGAAGAACAUCAUGGGCGAAGGCGACUUACUGGACUGUAACUGACACUGAGGCACGAAAGCGUGGGGAUCAAACAGGAUUAGAUACCCGAGUAGUC